rnacentral:rRNA from 1 species
GGGAAAUCUUACCGGGUCCGGACACACUGAGGAUUGACAGGUAACUGUAGUGUUAUUAAUAAUUUAUUAUUUUAAUGCUCUUCAAAUAUGCUAGUCCUUUCAUGAUUGUGUGAUAGGUGGUGCAUGGCCGUUCUUAGUUCGUGGAGCAAUCUGUCUGCUUAAUUGCGCCAUUAAUAGUGGAACGUACCCGUUUGCGCAACGUUAUGCUAUAUUUUGUUAUUUUUUAUUGGUUAAUCCCUUUAUUAAAUGCUUAAUAUUAGUUAAUGUUUACCGCUGGGUUCAGUGUCCCCUGGCAACGA